rnacentral:rRNA from 1 species
UACGUAGGAGGCAAGCGUUGUCCGGAAUUACUGGGCGUAAAGAGCGUGUAGGCGGUAGAGUAAGUCUGUAGUGAAAUCUCAUGGCUCAACUGUGAGAGGUCUAUGGAAACUGCUCAACUGGAGGAAGGUAGAGGAGGGUGGAAUUCCCGGUGUAGUGGUGAAAUGCGUAGAUAUCAGGAGGAACACCAGUGGUGUAGACGGCGGACCUGGGCCAAUAUUGACGCUGAGGUGCGAAAGCGUGGGGAGCAAACAGG